UACGUAGGGUGCAAGCGUUAAUCGGAAUUACUGGGCGUAAAGCGUGCGCAGGCGGCUUUGCAAGACAGAUGUGAAAUCCCCGGGCUUAACCUGGGAACUGCAUUUGUGACUGCAUGGCUGGAGUGCGGCAGAGGGGGAUGGAAUUCCGCGUGUAGCAGUGAAAUGCGUAGAUAUGCGGAGGAACACCGAUGGCGAAGGCAAUCCCCUGGGCCUGCACUGACGCUCAUGCACGAAAGCGUGGGGAGCAACCAGG
rnacentral:rRNA from 1 species